CCUACGGGUGGCAGCAGUGGGGAAUAUUGCGCAAUGGGCGAAAGCCUGACGCAGCGACGCCGCGUGAGGGAUGAAGGUCUUCGGAUCGUAAACCUCUGUCAGCAGGGAAGAACAGUCACUGUGCUAAUCAGCAGUGAAUUGACGGUACCUGCAAAGGAAGCACCGGCUAACUCCGUGCCAGCAGCCGCGGGAAUACGGAGGGUGCGAGCGUUAAUCGGAAUUACUGGGCGUAAAGCGCUCGUAGGCGGUAUGUCAAGUCAAGGGUGAAAUCCCCGCGCUCAACGUGGGAACUGCCUUUGAAACUGGCAAACUGGAGUGAGUGAGAGGAAAGUGGAAUUCCAGGUGUAGGAGUGAAAUCCGUAGAUAUCGGGAGGAACAUCAGUGGCGUAGGCGACUAUCUGGAACAUAACUGACGCUGAGGAGCGAAAGCGUGGGUAGCGAACAGGAUUAGAUACCCCUGUAGUC
rnacentral:rRNA from 1 species